CCCGGCACUCCGACCGCGUCACCACCUUCAGUGCAUUUUCCUCAUGCCCCCCUGGAGGGCAGGACCCUGGCACCACCCUAUGUUACCAACAGCAAAUGGAAAAUUGUUUACUACCUACAUGAUGGCAAGGCUUAUGCACAUGUGAGUGAUAACAUGAGGCCGUGAUAAGGAAAGAGUCGUGUGCCUCCAGACAUCUUCCAAAUGGACUGAGUGAUGAAUCACAAAGCUGAAACAACAACAAAUACAAGACAGACCAGCAAGAGUAAAACCACCGUCUCAAUACUUCAGGCUGUUUCCCACCAGUAACAGUUGCCACUGAGAAAGGGCAGCAAGAAGAGGAUUUUCCCAUCCCGUUUCCAGAAGGGAGGAUCUGAGGCCAAGGAAUAUGUGUGCUGCUGCUGCUGCUUCUGAUCUCCUGAACCGCUUCCAAUCCAGAUGGGAAACAGAAGAGCACGGAGAUUUUGCAAUUUGAGCUGAGCCAGGCAGGAGCUCUUUGGCAGAAGAAGAGGCCUCCCGAGGGCCACACAACAACUGCAUUGUGAUAGGAUGCUCCAUGGGAGACAGCAGCUUGUAAAAGCAGUCGGGGUCUACCAGAGAACACCACAAUAAACAACACAAAACACAAGAAGGAGCCCGCCAACUGCAGAAAGCCAGCAACAGGAUCAAAAGAGAAAUGUCCCAGGUACAAACAAGAGCCGGGAGGAAUGACAUGACUGCAGCCUGGAAAACCUAUAAUGUCUGCAAGGGCUAGAAGCUGGAGGCAUCGGCAGUUUGGCAGCAGCCUCCCCAGGAAUGAGCUGAGGACAUCAAGCAACUCCCUACUCUCAGCUGCUGGGUGCCACCAAAGCUAUUUCACAUACCUAGAAAGCAACGGCACAAAUCUUCAGCAAGAAUCAAGGAGGAAUCAUGCAAGAAAAGCUGCCCUGAAGACGUUGCUUCCUAGAGAUACAAGAGAUGGGGCUGCUCGCACCAUUGAAGUGGGAGAGGAAGUGGACAUUUAGCCCAGUUCUUUUGGCAUCAAGUGGACAUGUUUAUUACGGCUGGCAGAGCGUACCUGUGUGCAACAUGGCAAUCCUGCCUGUCACCACACCAACCCUACAGCUGAUGGAAAUCUGGGUCCCAGCUUCAGACAGUUGUCUGCCAUCUGCUUUGGCCAGACACCAAGACGCUAGCAAUUGGCUGGCAUUGCUGCCAUGAGCAAAGCACACAGUCAAUGGGACUUGGCAUCUGCUGGAGUGGAAGACUGUACCCCAGUGGAUGGUAACAAAUCUCCUCGUCAAAACCAUGAAGUAGCAGGAAUCUCCUCGGAGAGCAAUGUAUCACAACAUUUUUCAAGAUGAUUUCCAAAUCGAAGAUGACUUCCAAGGAACAGCGAGGAUGUAAUCUUGGAGCCAAUCAAACCAAUGGCAGAAAUCCCACUUUCUGCAUGAUCUUCUUAAUGGAGCCUCUGAAAUUUUGAAGCUUCAUAUAUUAUGGUUAAAAGGUACUGUCCAAAUUCAGCAUCUGUGAGCCUUACAGAGGCACGACCCUAAAAAGAAGUGAUGAAAAAUGUCUAUUUUAAAAACAAAUAUCCCUAUUUAUAAUGACACCAAAGGGAAAAAGGAGAAUUCAGUACUUAAUACUGACACUUGCAACUUGCAAAAUCUCUCCACUGCUUGAAACAAGCAUUUGUGAGAGUUUGGAAAAUUUUGAUCACUCAUUUUUUCCUCUUUUGCUUCCAUUUUGCUCACUGGUGGGGCUGUCCAAUAACAGCGUUGAUGCUGCUGAAAUGUCACAAUGAACUUUGCUCAUGUACUAGUUCCAGGUGAGAUGGGAGUAGUUAGUUGUAAUAUUUAACAAAACAAAAGAAGUAUUUGCCAAUGUUUUUGGAUAUAGUUGUUAUGUCCCAGGCGCAGAGAUUAGUCAGAGCAUCCAUAAAUAUCACUGUCGUUGAAAUCUGAUAUCCAAACCCUUCACUCCAAAUGCCCACCGGCUGUGAAAACCCUGCUGAGCUUUGGCCACUGGGCUGUAAACUCCUUUUGGGUUUUGCUCCAUGCCUGGCACAACGGCUGGGGGUCCCUGCCAGUGCAAUAGGGAGUGCAUUUCAGGAGGGGAAGCAAGAGGCACAUCCUACACAGUGGAUCACCUGGUGGGGAAAAAGCUCCCAUUGUGUAUUAUUAUUCAUUUCUGUUGUCAGCCUCUGGUCACUGCAGUAGAGGAGGGUCCAUGUUAAAGGUUACAGAGCAGCUGUGGAGGCUGGUGUGGCAGCCAGUACAGGUAUCAUAAAGGGUCAGGUUAAACUGUACUCUUUCUUGAGUACCUCUGUUAGAAACUGAGCUAAACAGUGUCUUGGUCCCAACACAUAUAAAAGCUUUGGUGCUAUCACGUGAAGAAAAUCCAGUUUCUCGGAGGAAACUUGAGACAAAAGAGCCAACCCAAGAUAUUUAUCAGUUUUCACUAAAUUAAUGCAAACAAAAACAGUGUUCUUUACAGUAAAUCUAUUGCUGAGUUUUACUGGAAUUAACUGAUAUUCUCACCUGCCUAAUAUCUGGUAGUCUUUGUGAGGAUUUUUUCCACUGAUACAUUUUGGUGGAAGAGAAGGCAUUCUUCAAUGGAUUAAAAUAUUUUGCAUUCAGAAAUGAUCAGUUUCAUUGAAAGGUUUAGAGUUUUCAGAAGGAAAAAGCCAAGAGCAGCAGCAGAAUUAUUUUGAGUAAGUAUUUUCUUCAGUAUUCCACUCACCCAUCACCUCAAAACACUACAGAAGUAGCACAUGAACUGAAGCAACAAAAUACAUCCAUGUCAUCAACAGUUUUCAUAGGGGUGAGAAGCAGACCCUAGUUACUUCCAUGCAUACAAUGCUCUUGAGUGACUGGAAGGGGAGGAGCCACAAUCCAUUCCUUCCCAGGCCUCCUUUAAGGGUUGGCGGUGGAGGUAAGGAGGUCUUGCUGGCGAACCCUGUCUACUGGAGGCCUUCCAAAGGUAAGAAGUUUUUCUUCCUAUUCUGUGACCGUGGCAGCUACAUUUGGGUUUGUUCUCAUUUGCUGCAGCCUAGGAUUGUGACACUUCGCUGUUAUUGCUGUACUUCAUAUUAUAGCAUUAGAAAGAGAAUGAGCUGAUAAAGAUGCAGUGCAGUCAGAUGCAGGCAGGGCCAGCACAGGAGAAAGCCUGCUGUCUGUGCAAAACUGAAUGUAGCUAAGCAUACUGGGGUGAAGCAAAGUCCAGCUGAAUGGUACCAUUUAAUACUCAGAGAGCCCAAGUGCCAGCCAGCACCAGGAGCUAAGGAGCACCCAUGGAAAAGGGUACAAAGGUGGCACUGAUGCACAGCACUUGGCUUGGCUCCCACAAAGGUCGCAGCUGAGUCUCUGUGUUAACUUUUCCUCAACACAGUGUUAUUGAGAAUUAUGCCAAGCUACUCAAUAGUGAUGCCUCCCUCUCGCAGACCUUUCAUUAGAAGAUAUCAGCAUUUGAUAUCCCAGUCAUAAGCAAGAACAGUCAAAGGCACAGUUAGUUCUAUUAUAAGCUUGAGAAUUUAGCUUUAAGUAUGCCAAGGUCCUCAUCCUGCAAAGCAUUUGGGGUUGUAUUGUUCAUGCAAUUGAUGAACAAGUCUGCAAGUUUUGUCUAAGCAGAGGCAAAAAUGAAACCCAGGUCUCUGGUGGUACGUCCUGUGCUCAGCAAUGAGAGCCUCCAUAUGGAUAUAGAAGUAUCUGGUAUAAAUGUGUCAAAUGAAUUGGAAGCUGUUACAUACAGUACUGCAAGGGGGAAUUCUUAUUUAUUACAAUUUUGUUAUCAGUAUUCUUGUGGAGCUGAAUUUCCUGUGCAGACAUGCAGCAGCCAGGUUCACCACACGACCAAAGCUUCAGCGUGGGGAAGUUGUUCUCAUUCACCUCUCUGUUUAUUUUCCAGCUCUUAUCCUAUCAGCUCAAGUGAAUCAAGGUGGGAGGAGGUGAAGCAAUUGGAGCGGGCAGUUUUUAAGGCUGCACUGAGUAUAAGGGGAGUUAAGUGGAGACAAGCCCCAGACAGAACCAGUGGACCUGGUGUCACAUCUAACAGCUGUGUGAAGCAGUGCCCUAUCCCCUGGCAUAGCCAGAAGGAGAUGUGGAAGGAGGAAAUUCAAAGAGGAGAGCUUUUCCUACAUUGCUGUAUAUAUUCAGGACAGUCAUCUGAGAAGGGAAGAAAGCCAAGCAAGGUGUACUGAAGAUGGGCUAAGGCCUCCAUCCAAUGGAAACUCCUGGGACAGACAAAAAUCCUACCACUGAUUGACAUUUAUCUUCUUUAGCACUUAGCCUCUAAAACUUGGUGGAAAUUUACAAGUCUGGAAGUGGCCAUUGCAUUCUUGAGUAGGAUGCCAUCCAUUUUACAACUGGCAUUUGUCUGUAGGUUCCACAAUGACUCCUUUGUUUAAAUGCUCACUCCUUGCUAAGGAUUAUUGACCUGAAGCCUUACAUUCCUGACAUCACCCAGUUUCUCCAUGCUGACCAGCUUUGUGUGGAGCAAAAGAUGGCUACUCAGUGGUCAGUGCUGCCAGCCAGCUGCUUAUCCUUGCAUGGGACAUGCACCUGCUCCUUGCUACAGCAAUGCAUGUGUGACCCAUCUGCUCAUCCAGAGGGGUGGUUCUGAGGCCGAGCAGUUGCACAGGUACCUCCCCUUAGUUAUACAGGGCACGUUUCUGUCUUUUCUUCCCUCCUCUGAGCUAUUUUCAGUCUCAACUAGCUUGUUCCAUUAAACGCAGCCGGUGUGAAAUCAGGCCUGGCAGGAACACAUUUUGGGGGGUGCACAGCUUACAUUUACACACAAGAAAGGACUUUACAGUACCAGGCACUUAGUUGCCCUUCACACCUUCACCUCUCUAAGGAAUACCCUUUCUGAGCCAUCCGGUGCUAACCUGGACAUUAGAAUGGAAUGUAGGCAAACAUACAUAGCAACUUGUCCCCUCUGAUUUACCCAAAGCCAUUUCAUUUCUUUGUGUUUACCUGCAUUACUUUGUUUCUUAGUGAGCAAAGAAGUGCACAACGUUGCAGCUGAACUCCCAUCUGUGCCUGCUGCACUGUCCCUGUCUCAUUUGUCCCUUAAGACUGCAUUUCCCUUUUCAUGGCUACAGCAUAGUUGUGGCUCAAAGUCACCCUGUGAUUAGAGUACACCAAAGUCUUCUUCCUCCCCAAGCAGCUUUAAGUGCAUGGCUCAUUACCAACUGUUUUCUUAGUAACAAUACCCAGCUCUGCGGUGACCUGCAUGAGCUAUGGGUCUGGGCCCCCUUCUCCAGAAGAGCCAGACUUUGCCAGCUGAUACCAGCUGCAGAACCAGUUCUCAGUAUUCAGUGCACUUGGGGAGAAAGAAACAAGUAGUAAACUAAAGACAAACAGAGCUACAUCACAGUCAAAUGUAUGAUAACACUACCAACCAAGACAGCUGCUUCUGUCAACAUGGAAACAAGAUAGGAGCUAAAGUGCUUCUAUUUUUGCAUUAAAAUAGAAACAGAGAUGGAGAGGACUUGGGGGAUUUAUCAAACCAAAUAAAUAUUUGUCAUUUUAAAAUUUGAAUGGAAAUUAUAAUAUUCCACUGCUACCAUGGAGCUGAAUGUCGUCCUUCCCCUCAAUCAGCCCUUAGCAGCAAGGAGUUAGUUGCAAUCAAAUGGAUUAGACUGGUUGCAUUCAUUCAGAUUGGCAAACAGCCCCAUCAGCCAGGACCGUGGUCCAUAAUGGCACAGCGCCCUUUGAGACCCCCAUCCCAGGGCUGUAUCAGCAGUGCUACACACCACAGCCAUCACACAAGUGUGCUACUGCCAUUAAACUGCGGCUCCCUCAGAGCUCAAGAAACAUUUUUCCCCUUUCUUGAACUGUAUUUAAAUCAAGUCACUUCUGUACAUUUUUAGCCUGAAUUAAGGACAUUUUUCUGUUAAGGUUUGGAGGUGUCUUUUUGUUACUAUUAUUGUAAUUAUUUAAACAACAAACAACAACAACACAGUGAAUAUGAUACUUCCUUGUACUUCUUGGUUUGAGAUGGAACCUGAAACCCAAAAAGCAAAGCACCUACAAAAGCCCUGUGGCUGGGAGAUCCCUGAACUUCUCCAAACCUGGAGCAGAGGAAAAGUUUACAAGAAGCUCUCCAGAGGCCCUCAGCCCAAUUACCAGGAACCAAGGCAGGCUGAAUACGCUCAGGGCAAUGGAUGCAGAGAGGAAAUAGUCAAGUACCUUUCAAAUAUGCAACCAAAGAAUUUGAUUUUUGCCUGUCACUUGUCACAUAUUUCAGAAGGAAAUAAAAGAAAAUACUCUGUCUGGGAAUUCUUACCCUGCAAUUGUUGAGAAGCAGAGAUGCUGGUUAAUUCUCUUCAACUGAACAAACAUAGGAGGGAGUCUGAGAGCAAUUUGGCUCCAGAGCAAAUAUUGUUACCAAAUUCUUUGCACCUGCAACAGUCAGGAAAACGAUAAUACAGCUUUUCCAUGUCUUCCUAUCCCACGCUUUGGAAAGCAUCCACACAGUACCUCAUAUGUCUGCUACAGGAUAAACAUUUGCAGGGCAGAGCCUCACACAAGCCCCUGCUGGUACGGCUGUAUUGCGCUCUAUGGCCCCAGCCCACAACUCCCACUCUUAUCUUGGCCUCAAGUCAACCUGACACUCUGACCCAGUCUAUUCACAGCUCUCCAGCGUGAUCCCUGCAGCACCACUGGCUGCCAUGGCCAGCAUUCAGCCUGUACCACACCAGCUCUGCACAGCACUGCCCAGCUGGGAGCAUGUUACUGGACUUAGUAAGUUUAAAAAUGAAGGUAAUGAAAACAUUAAGAACUUUAGCUGUCAUAGCUUCCAGUACCAUUCUUCCAGCUUAGUCACACUUACCAAGGGAAAACACUUCUCCUGGUAUAGAAUCAUGAAAUUACAAAAUGGGUUGGAUUGGAAGGAACCCUAAAGACCACUCAGCCCCAACCCCCAGCCAUGGGCAGGGCUGCCCCCACCAGCUCAGGCAGCCCAGGGUGGCCCAACCUGGCCUUGAGUGCCUCCAGGGAUGGGGCACCACAGCUUCUCUGGGCCUCGCCACCCUCUGAAUGAAGAAUUUCCCCUCUAACCUCAAUUUCCCAUUUUAGCUUAGAGCCAUCCUCCCCCCUCCCCCCUUUUUUGAUGCAGCCCGGGAUACUGUUGACCUUCUAGGCUGCAAGCAAACACUGCUGGCUCACAAUAAGUUUUUCAUCUACCAGUUUCCCUAAACCCUUCUCUGUAGGAAUGCUCUCAAUGCUUUCUUAGGAUUACCCCAAUCCAAGUAAAACUUCUCAUUUUGCUUCAUUGAACCUCAUUAGGUUCACAUGGGCCCACAUUUUAAGUUAAUCGGGGUCCCUCUGUAUAGCAUCCCUUUCUUCUACCAUGCCAACUGCACCAGUCCCUUCAGGAUGCUGGGAUGAAUGUCAUCCAGCCCCAUAGACUUGUACACAUAAUACAAUACAACUUGCCUCAGACCAGGUUUUCUUUAUAGUGGAGUAUAUCCUUGGUGUUCAGACUGACAGAGCAAGAGGACCAAAGCUCCACAAGUGAGGGACCAAGCCCAUUGCAGCUGUAACCCCAGCUUGUACCUCCAGUGACAGGGAGGUGCAGGGACAGAAAAAGGUGAACCCAUAUUCCUUGUGGGACGCAGGGAGGCCAGAGAAACAUUUGGACCUCUACAGUGGGUGCAAGUUUAUUUUCUGUACUGUUUCUUGAGAAACAAAUCUGUGCCUUCAAGACCUUAGUACCUUCUUCAUAAAAUGGAAUGCAUUCCUAUCCCCCCCACUCUUGUCACGCUCACAUGCAGCAUCCAUCUACCAAGGAGCAGCUAAGAGAUGAAGCCACUAAAUACCACCAAGGCAGAGAAACAUUUGCACCAUUGUCAUGGAAGGAAAACACCUCUCAUUUCCGUGCUGGGCUCCACACAGGUAAAAUGAAGGAAUUUGGUGUCAGACUCCCCACUCUGUCCCCACUGUCCACAGGCUCCCUCACAGUAAAAGCAAGUGCUUCAUCUCCAUGCAAAGUUUCAUAGUGAGAGGAAACCCACUGUAUGAUAUGCUUAAUGCACUGAAAGAAUACUUGUUUUAGAAAAAGUACAGAUAUAUACACAUGCGCCUUUGUCUUCUAGACCAAGGGCCCUGCCUUCGUACCUAGGCAAUGUUCCAAUCAGCAAAAUAAUAAUAACCAAUAAGCAGCUUUAAAAACAGAUAACAACAAAGCACUUUGGCCUCUCACUGCAACAUGAAGACAGAUACUGGAUUACUAGGAGAAGACAAAUUGAUGAGAUGACAUUGAGUUACAGAGCUGAAAUCCAAAGGAAUUAUUCCAAUUUAUGCU